AGGGCGCACGGUGGAUGCCUUGGCACUAGAAGCCGAUGAAGGACGUGACUAACGACGAAAUGCUUUGGGGAGCUGUAAGUGAGCAAUGAUCCAGAGAUGUCCGAAUGGGGGAACCCGGCAGGUAAUGCCUGUCACUCAUUACUGUUAAGGUAAUGUAGAGGAAGACGCAGUGAACUGAAACAUCUAAGUAGCUGUAGGAAGAGAAAGCAAAAGCGAUUGCCUUAGUAGCGGCGAGCGAAACGGCAAGAGGGCAAACCGAAGAGUUUACUCUUCGGGGUUGUAGGACUGCAACGUGGACUUAAAGAUUAUAGAAGAACUACCUGGGAAGGUAGGCCAAAGAGAGUAAUAGCCUCGUAUUCGAAAUAGUCUUUAUACCUAGCAGUAUCCUGAGUACGGCGAGACACGAGAAAUCUCGUCGGAAUCUGGGAGGACCAUCUCCCAACCCUAAAUACUCUCUAGUGACCGAUAGUGAACCAGUACCGUGAGGGAAAGGUGAAAAGCACCCCGGGAGGGGAGUGAAAUAGAACCUGAAACCGUGUGCCUACAACAAGUUCGAGCCCGUUAAUGGGUGAGAGCGUGCCUUUUGUAGAAUGAACCGGCGAGUUACGAUAUGAUGCGAGGUUAAGUUGAAGAGACGGAGCCGUAGGGAAACCGAGUCUUAAUAGGGCGCAUUAGUAUCAUGUCGUAGACCCGAAACCAUGUGACCUACCCAUGAGCAGGUUGAAGGUGAGGUAAAACUCACUGGAGGACCGAACCAGGGCACGUUGAAAAGUGCUUGGAUGACUUGUGGGUAGCGGAGAAAUUCCAAACGAACUUGGAGAUAGCUGGUUCUCUCCGAAAUAGCUUUAGGGCUAGCGUCGAUGUUAAGUCUCUUGGAGGUAGAGCACUGUUUGGGUGAGGGGUCCAUCCCGGAUUACCAAUCUCAGAUAAACUCCGAAUGCCAAUGAGAUAUAAUCGGCAGUCAGACUGCGAGUGCUAAGAUCCGUAGUCGAAAGGGAAACAGCCCAGACCACCAGCUAAGGUCCCAAAAUAUAUGUUAAGUGGAAAAGGAUGUGGGGUUGCACAGACAACUAGGAUGUUAGCUUAGAAGCAGCUAUUCAUUCAAAGAGUGCGUAAUAGCUCACUAGUCGAGUGACCCUGCGCCGAAAAUGUACCGGGGCUAAAACAUAUUACCGAAGCUGUGGAUACCUUUAUAGGUAUGGUAGGAGAGCGUUCUAUGUGCGAAGAAGGUGUACCGUGAGGAGUGCUGGAGCGCAUAGAAGUGAGAAUGCCGGUAUGAGUAGCGAAAGACAGGUGAGAAUCCUGUCCACCGUAAGACUAAGGUUUCCAGGGGAAGGCUCGUCCGCCCUGGGUUAGUCGGGACCUAAGGAGAGACCGAAAGGUGUAUCCGAUGGACAACAGGUUGAUAUUCCUGUACUAGAGUAUAUAGUGAUGGAGGGACGCAGUAGGCUAACUAAACCAGACGAUUGGAAGUGUCUGGCCAAGCAGUGAGGUGUGAUAUGAGUCAAAUGCUUAUAUCUUUAACAUUGAGCUGUGAUGGGGAGCGAAGUUUAGUAGCGAAGUUAGUGAUGUCACACUGCCGAGAAAAGCUUCUAGCGUUAAUUAUACUCUACCCGUACCGCAAACCGACACAGGUAGUCGAGGCGAGUAGCCUCAGGUGAGCGAGAGAACUCUCGUUAAGGAACUCGGCAAAAUGGCCCCGUAACUUCGGGAGAAGGGGCGCUGACUGAUGGUCAGCCGCAGUGAAUAGGCCCAAGCAACUGUUUAUCAAAAACACAGCUCUCUGCUAAAUCGUAAGAUGAUGUAUAGGGGGUGACGCCUGCCCGGUGCUGGAAGGUUAAGAGGAGUGCUUAGCGUAAGCGAAGGCAUGAAUUGAAGCCCCAGUAAACGGCGGCCGUAACUAUAACGGUCCUAAGGUAGCGAAAUUCCUUGUCGGGUAAGUUCCGACCCGCACGAAAGGCGUAAUGAUUUGGGCACUGUCUCAACGAGAGACUCGGUGAAAUUUUAGUACCUGUGAAGAUGCAGGUUACCCGCGACAGGACGGAAAGACCCCAUGGAGCUUUACUGCAGUUUGAUAUUGAGUAUCUGUACCACAUGUACAGGAUAGGUAGGAGCCUAUGACCUCGGGACGCCAGUUUCGAGUGAGGCGUUGUUGGGAUACUACCCUUGUGUUAUGGCUACUCUAACCCAGAUAGGUUAUCCCUAUCGGAGACAGUGUCUGACGGGCAGUUUGACUGGGGCGGUCGCCUCCUAAAAGGUAACGGAGGCGCCCAAAGGUUCCCUCAGAAUGGUUGGAAAUCAUUCGCAGAGUGUAAAGGUAUAAGGGAGCUUGACUGCGAGAGCUACAACUCGAGCAGGGACGAAAGUCGGGCUUAGUGAUCCGGUGGUUCCGUAUGGAAGGGCCAUCGCUCAACGGAUAAAAGCUACCCUGGGGAUAACAGGCUUAUCUCCCCCAAGAGUUCACAUCGACGGGGAGGUUUGGCACCUCGAUGUCGGCUCGUCGCAUCCUGGGGCUGUAGUCGGUCCCAAGGGUUGGGCUGUUCGCCCAUUAAAGCGGCACGCGAGCUGGGUUCAGAACGUCGUGAGACAGUUCGGUCCCUAUCCGUCGCGGGCGUAGGAAAUUUGAGAGGAUCUGCUCCUAGUACGAGAGGACCAGAGUGGACUUACCGCUGGUGUACCAGUUGUUCUGCCAAGAGCAUCGCUGGGUAGCUAUGUAGGGAAGGGAUAAACGCUGAAAGCAUCUAAGUGUGAAGCCCACC
rnacentral:rRNA from 1 species